rnacentral:rRNA from 1 species
UACGUAGGUGACAAGCGUUGUCCGGAUUUACUGGGCGUAAAGAGCGCGCAGGCGGUCGAUCAAGUCGAGUGUGAAAGCCCCCGGCUCAACUGGGGAGGGUCAUUCGAUACUGAUCGACUCGAGGCAGGAGAGGGUAGUGGAAUUCCGGUGUAGUGGUGAAAUGCGUAGAUAGUCGGGAGGAACACCGGUGGCGAAGGCGGUUCUCUGGGCCUGACCUGACGCUGAGGAGCGAAAGCGUGGGGAGCGAACAGGAU